GGCAAUCUGCCAGAGACAUAUGCCACACUAUUGAUUGCCAGGGUUGAUUCUAGCUGAUCUGACUAAUUAGGCAGGUGUCCCCUUCUUC
ensembl:misc_RNA 7SK 7SK RNA